GGUUUUGGGGACUCUGCUGCUCCAGACUGUGGACAGUGCUGGGUGCUGCUGGUCACACUGUGCCCGUCCUCUGCUCUCCUCUCUUUGGUCCUCUACCUCCUCUGCAGUCACAUGGUUUGUGCCAGAAAACACCCUGCCGCCUCUCAGGAAAACAGACCUUUAUUACCGCAACAUGAGGAUGAAAACUAUAGCCGUGUAUUUUAUGCUGUGUUGAAAACUCCACAAAAAAAAGGAUCUCACAGCUUCUUCGUUUGCAGUACGAGUGGGCUUUGAGAGGCGGAUUGGUUAGAGUUCCUCCCUCCACAACACACACAGCCCAACGCACACAUAUAGAGUCACUCUCAACAACAAACAAACACACAGUCGUACACACAAACAC